UAACACGUGGGCAACCUGCCUGUAAGACUGGGAUAACUCCGGGAAACCGGGGCUAAUACCGGAUGCUUGAUUGAACCGCAUGGUUCAAUCAUAAAAGGUGGCUUUUAGCUACCACUUGCAGAUGGACCCGCGGCGCAUUAGCUAGUUGGUGAGGUAACGGCUCACCAAGGCGACGAUGCGUAGCCGACCUGAGAGGGUGAUCGGCCACACUGGGACUGAGACACGGACCAGACUCCUACGGGAGGCAGCAGUAGGGAAUCUUCCGCAAUGGACGAAAGUCUGACGGAGCAAAGCCGCGUGAGUGAUGAAGGUAAACGGAUCGUAAACACUCUGUAGUCAGGGAAGAACAAGUACCGAUCGAAUAGGGCGGUACCUGGACGGUACCUAACCAGAAAGCCACGGCUAACUACGUGACCAAGCAAGCCGAGGGUAAUACGUAGGUGGCAAGCGUAGUCCGGAAUUAUUGGGCGUAAAGCGCGCGCAGGCGGUUUCUUAAGUCUGAUGUGAAAGCCCCCGGCUCAACCGGGGAGGGUCAUUGGAAACUGGGGAACUUGAGUGCAGAAGAGGAGAGUGGAAUCCCACGUGUAGCGGUGAAAUGCGUAGAGAUGUGGAGGAACACCAGUGGCGAAGGCGACUCUCUGGUC
rnacentral:rRNA from 1 species